AUGUAUCCCGUUGCUUGGGCAGUAGUGGAGAAAGAGACAACUGAGAGCUGAAAGUGGUUCAUUGGCCUUCUAAUAAAAGACCUGGAUAUCAAUGAGCAAGGGGGAUGGGUUUUCAUUUCUGACCAACAAAAGGUAUGCUUUUGUCUUAUAUAA
rnacentral:rRNA from 1 species